UGUGUCGAUGAGUCUGCGAACCAGACUUGUAUUAGGCAAGCUGCGGAGGGACGCAGGAAGGUAGCUCAACCCGGGCGAUGGUAUCCGCAAGGUGAUCCCGGGCUAAGCGUGUAGGGCGAGGUGUAGGUGAAUCCGCACCUCAUGAUGCCUGAGACGUGACGGCUGGUCGGUCUACGGACCGGCGAGUGAGUGAUCCUAUGCUGCCUAGAAAAUCUUCGUGAGCGAGUUCUAGAGCCGCCCGUACCCUAAACCGACACAGGUGGUCAGGUAGAGAAUACCAAGGUGAUCGAGAUAACCGUGGUUAAGGAACUCGGCAAAAUGCCCCCGUAACUUCGGGAUAAGGGGGGCCGGACGCGUAUUGCAGACUUGCUCUGCCGUGCGUGAAAGGCCGCAGAGACCAGGCCCAAGCGACUGUUUACUAAAAACACAGGUCCGUGCCAAGUCGUAAGACGAUGUAUACGGACUGACGCCUCCCCGGUGCUGGAACGUUAAGGGGAACCGUUAGCCGCAAGGCGAAGCGGUGAACUUAAGCGCCAGUAAACGGCGGUGGUAACUAUAACCAUCCUAAGGUAGCGAAAUUCCUUGUCGGGUAAGUUCCGACCUGCACGAAUGGCGUAACGACUUGGGCGCUGUCUCGACCACGGACUCGGCGAAAUUGCACUACGAGUAAAGAUGCUCGUUACGCGCAGCAGGACGGAAAGACCCCGGGACCUUCACUAUAGUUUGGUAUUGGUGUUCGGUACAGCUUGUGUAGGAUAGGUGGGAGACUGUGAAGCGGCGACGCCAGUCGUCGUGGAGUCAACGUUGAAAUACCACUCUGGUUGUUCUGGAUAUCUAACCUAGGUCCAUUAUCUGGAUCAGGAACAGUGCCUGAUGGGUAGUUUGACUGGGGCGGUCGCCUCCCAAAAGGUAACGGAGGCGCCCAAAGGUUCCCUCAGCCUGGUUGGCAAUCAGGUUUCGAGUGUAAGUGCACAAGGGAGCUUGACUGUGAGAGGGACACCUCGAGCAGGGACGAAAGUCGGGACUAGUGAUCUGACGGUGGCAUGUGGAAGCGCCGUCACUCAACGGAUAAAAGGUACCCCGGGGAUAACAGGCUGAUCUUGCCCGAGCGUCCAUAGCGACGGCAUGGUUUGGCACCUCGAUGUCGGCUCGUCGCAUCCUGGGGCUGGAGUCGGUCCCAAGGGUUGGGCUGUUCGCCCAUUAAAGCGGCACGCGAGCUGGGUUUAGAACGUCGUGAGACAGUUCGGUCCCUAUCCGCUGCGCGCGUAGGAGUCUUGAGGAGGGCUGUCCUUAGUACGAGAGGACCGGGACGGACGAACCUCUGGUGUGCCAGUUGUCCUGCCAAGGGCACGGCUGGUUGGCUACGUUCGGAAGUGAUAACCGCUGAAAGCAUCUAAGCGGGAAGCACGCUCCAAGAUGAAGGCUCCCACAGGAUAGCCUGGUAAGGCCCCCAGCAGAACACUGGGUGAUAGGUCGGAUGUGGAAGCACAGCAAUGUGUGGAGCUGACCGAUACUAAUAGGCCGAGGGCUUGUUCU
rnacentral:rRNA from 1 species